CCUAAAGCCUAAUUUAUUUUAGGGGAAUUUUGCCUGAUACUUCUAUUUGAAAGCCUUUAAUGAAAUAUACCUCUUUUCUUUCAAGAUUUUUUGUUUUAUUCUUUUAUUUUUUAAUAUUUUUAAACUAUCAUUUUCAAAUAUCAAAAGGAAAAAUACACAUGAAAUGCCCAACAAAGAAAGAAAAGGAAAAAUGAGAGAAUGGCGAAGCAGCUACCGGAGAGUUCUUAAGGAGGAGAGAUGAGUGGAGGAAGCAUCCUAGGUUCAGCAAUUAGCCCAGCCAUGCCCGUCUCAAUUUUGGCAUCGGAGUCCCAUCACUGAUUGGCGAGCAGAUCUACAGCAAACUCCUUGGUCCUUCCUCCUCCUCCUCUUCUGGGUCUGCUUUUAAUGGUGUGGUCUUUUCUGGGUUUUUCAAGAAAUCUUCAAAAUGGAAAAAUACAUUUAGAAUCCUAUCGUUGGAACCUUGUUUUUGUCAUAGGGACUUGCCAAAUAGAAGUUUAUUUUGGAAGCCACAGCAGGAAGAAUCAUCCAUGGUGAAGUAUUCAAAAGGGCCUAAUCCUACCAACUCUUGCAAAGCCAGGGGAUCAGACCUAUGAGUUCAUUUUAAGGAUUGCUACAUUGACAUCUGCUCCCCAGAGGUUCUAAUCAUUUUUACUUACAAUUUUGAUUACCAACAUCUAUGGUGCCAUUUUGUCAAGGGAUUGCUUGUUGAUGAUUGUCUUUAUGAGUCUUUUGAGGAAGAAGCUGGAUAUUUUCAGUUUGCUACGGCAAUAAUAUCGAAUGAUAUUGAUGAAAUAUAGAAGUUUCUUGAUGCUGCUGUUGAUGCAAGGUAUUCACUUUUUAGAUUUUAGUAAAUUAGUUAUUCUAGUCCCCUUGAUGACGACCCAAAUAGCAAUGACCUCUUCUUUUUACCCCCAAGUCCAGGUGGUUAGGCCUAGAGCAUUGGGAAAAAAAAAAAAGGACAUUCCAAACAUGAUGUACUGGAUGAAACAAUUUUAAUUAUGUAAAUAUGGUAAUCCUGCAUUUGGAUGGCAUAAGUGAUGCUAAUUGUGUAGAAGUUCUUUUCACCAAUGAUGAGAACCAUAGACGAAUUUAUGUUGUUUGCAUUAGUUUCUCUGAAUUACAUUUAGUCUAGAAUAUUUGUAAUCAAUUUUUCACUGCUAGUUGCAUCUUAGUGUAUAAUUAUUAUUUUUUUCCCACAGACUUUAUCAUUGAUUUAUUGCACUAUUUAUAAUCUUAAUUGAUCGUAGUUUACAGUUGUGAGGGUUUGAUUAUUAAGAUUUUUAAUAAAGAUGCUACAUAUGAGCCUUCCAAGCGAUCACUGAAUUGGCUGGAAUUAACAAGAGCAUUGUCACACAAAGCAAGGUCAUCCUAAUUAUAUGAUAACGUCUUUCAUCCGCUUCUGACAUUUCCCUUAUCCCUUUUGUUUCUUCCUCCAAAACAUGGUCUUCUUCAUUCAAGAUAAAGGAUUAAACAAUGCCCUUGUUUGUUACCAUGAAAUGUUAACAUUAAAUUUAUGAUACAUUUUGCUAUAUAUAAUUAUAUAAUUUAGCUUUUGGUUGUAUUUUUUCUUGUUAUUUUAAAUCCAUUUUCUCUGGUUCACUCAAUUCCACUUUUUGUAAGUCUUAAAAAGCAAUGUACCCAGGUGAUUAUCUACAGAAGUUACAAGCUUAUCUCCAAAAGCAACAGAAAAUGAUGUUUAUGAUUUUUCACUUAUUGUGGUGCAAUUGAGCAUGUUGAAAUCAUCAGGUAGAGUCCUUCUGCACAAAUCAAUAGUAGUCCAUGGAACCAUGAGGGCAAUAGUGGUUCAUCAGUAACAAAUCAAUAGAAAUAAUUUCCAUUGGAUGGAAAAGACAAUUUAGUUUCCACCAAAUUCUAAAAUUAUUCUAUAUAAGGAUCUUCAUUUCCAGGAUGUUUUGUUUCCGGGGUCUUAGUGUUUUUGAAGAUUGAUAUAUGGGCAUCACUUAUCUCUUAUUCAACUAAAGCACCCAAAUUUCUAGAGUAUUCUCUCUUUAACUAUCUAAAAUUCUCUGCAUUGUAAAACUUGCAGCUGAAAUUGCCACUAUCUUCUGUACUAGGUUCCACCAUGUCAUGCUUGCUAAAAUGACCAUAAAUUGAAUGGAAGUCAACUACUUGCACUCGAUAAUGUAUUUGCACAAUUUCUAUUGUGUCAUACAUAAUAUGUAUGCUAUUUGUUAAGAAGAUACAUCCAUUUUUCUUAUAUUUCUGAUUUACCAUGCAUUUUUGGUAUG